rnacentral:rRNA from 1 species
AUUGAACGCUGGCGGAAUGCUUUACACAUGCAAGUCGAACGGCAGCACGGACUUCGGUCUGGUGGCGAGUGGCGAACGGGUGAGUAAUACAUCGGAACGUGCCCAGUCGUGGGGGAUAACGUAGCGAAAGCUACGCUAAUACCGCAUACGAUCUAAGGAUGAAAGCGGGGGACCGUAAGGCCUCGCGCGAUUGGAGCGGCCGAUGGCAGAUUAGGUAGUUGGUGGGGUAAAGGCUCACCAAGCCGACGAUCUGUAGCUGGUCUGAGAGGACGACCAGCCACACUGGGACUGGGACACGGCGCAGACUCCUACGGGAGGCAGCAGUGGGGAAUUUUGGACAGUGGGCGCAAGCCUGAUCCAGCCAUUCCGCGUGCAGGAUGAAGGCCCUCGGGUUGUAAACUGCUUUUGUACGGAACGAAAAGGCUCUGGUUAAUACCUGGGGCUCAUGACGGUACCGUAAGUAUAAGCACCGGCUAACUACGUGCCAGCCGCCGCCGUAA